GGAGUUGUAGCUCAGCUGUAGAGCACUCGCCUAGCACGUGCGAGGCCCUGUGUUCGAUCCUCAGCUCUCCA
rnacentral:tRNA from 1 species